AAAAAACGUAUUUUCUCCGCUUCACCGAUGGCUCAGGUUUCCAUUUCGCUGCUUAAUUUCCUCAACGACGGCGAAGACGAUGUUAUCGAACAUGAAAACGGCGUCGUAGAGGACCUCGACUCUUCUCCUUACUGGCCUCUCAGUUUCGGUGACUUCGAUGUUUACGAUCCCUCAGAUCUCUCCGAUUUCCCUUCCCGUUCCCAAAUCUCUUCGUAUUCUCGUAGGAGGACUGGUUUGGCCUUAAGCGACGAUGUUUCAGACACUGAUUCGGUUGUCACCGUCAUGGACCGCGAGAACCAAGUAAACUUUGUUAUGGAUAUGUUUCAGCAACGGGUUGAGCAAUCUCAAUCUUUGAUCCGUGUGGUUUCCAACCCUGAUUUGCUGCAUGCGGACCCGGUAUUGGAGACCGAUUUCGGUUUGAUUGGAGGGAAUGAGUUUACGGGAAUGAGUAGCUUAGACGUUGAUUUUGG
rnacentral:misc_RNA from 1 species